AACUAACAAGGAUUCCCUCAGUAACGGCGAGUGAAGAGGGAAGAGCUCAGUUUUGAAAUCUGGCAGUGAUUCACUGUCCGAGUUGUAAAUUGAAGAGAAUGUCAUCCACGCUGGACCACGUCUAAAUUGUAAUGAUCCACAGUCCUUUGAUGGAGUAUCAGAGAGGGUAAUAAUCCCGUCUUURACGUGGACUGCCAGUGUUUCUGUGAUGCACUCUCUCAGAGUCGAGUAGUUUGGGAAUGCUGCUCUAAUGGGAGGUAAACUCCUUCUAAAGCUAAAUAUUGGCGAGAGACCGAURGCGAACAAGUACCGUGAGGGAAAGAUGAAAAGAACUCUGAAAAGAGAGUCAAAUAGAACGUGAAAUUGCUGAAAGGGAAGCGUUUGGAGUCAGACGCGUCUUCAUGCARUACAGCUCAKUGGCAGAGACUUUGAGACAAGUUACUUGAAGACGGGCCAGCACUCACGAAGACCAUUGAAGAAGGGGUCAUGGAAUGUAGCUCAGUGCUGAGUGAUUAUAGCCUUGAUUCAAAAGCAAUGUGUCCUUUGUGAGAGAUGGACAGCACGGACAACAGUUCAGUGCUUGAUUGACUGGCAUAAUGGCUCUAAGCGACCCGUCUUGAAACACGGACCAAGGAGUCUAACAUGUAUGCGAGUAUUAGAGUGAUUGAAACUCUGAAUGCGCAAUGAAAGUGUUUUUGACUGAGAAUCCUCUGGGAGGCAUCAGUACCCCGAGUCUGUUAGUCUUUGACUAAAGAUUUGGAGGUAGAGCAUAUAUGUUGGGACCCGAAAGAUGGUGAACUAUGCCUGAAUAGGGUGAAGUCAGAGGAAACUCUGAUGGACGCCCGUAGCGAUUCUGACGUGCAAAUCGAUCGUAGAAUUUGGGUAUAGGGGCGAAAGACUAAUCGAACCAUCUAGUAGCWGGU
rnacentral:rRNA from 1 species